UACGUGGGGGGCAAGCGUUGUUCGGAAUUACUGGGCGUAAAGGGCGCGUAGGCGGCUCGCUAAGUCGGGUGUGAAAACUCUGGGCUCAACCCAGAGCCUGCAUUCGAAACUGUCGAGCUAGAGUUCUGGAGGGGAAAGCGGAAUUCCUGGUGUAGCGGUGAAAUGCGUAGAUAUCAGGAGGAACACCGGUGGCGAAGGCGGUUUUCUGGACAGAAACUGACGCUGAUGCGCGAAAGCUAGGGGAGCAAACAGG
rnacentral:rRNA from 1 species